CCUGCUUGGGGAGGAGGGGUUCUGAGCUUAUAAAAAGAUGGAACUGACAGCACAAACUGGAAGAGAUGCAGAACAACACAGAUGGAUGGACACUCCUACAAAUUGCUCUUUAGACUUUCACGGGGCUGGGGGAAACAAAUCUCAUCAUGCUGAUGGCAAGAGCCUGCGGAGACCACGACAGUCACUUGUAGAGCAAAUUGAAGUUGUCCGCGCACACAGCAUGCAUAGGAAGAUGAAAUCACCAUGGUGGUGGAGUAUGCACAGCACACAAGAGAGUGCCAAGUCUCAUUUCACUUGUCGCGGAUCACAGGGGAUUGCUGGGCUCAUCGGAGACAGCAGGCAGCACUGAUUCCAUCUUCUCUCAAGAACACCGCCUUGCAAGCAAUGUGACCGGAAUGUUGCAACAGGGAAGUUAAUUACUAGAAGUGAUAAGGUAUUAUCUCACCACAAAGGCAAGGUGUAUAGGCAAAUAAUUUCUAAAUAAGAAGCAUUUACAGUGUUUAGCUUUUGCAUAUGGAGAGAUGUGUAAUAUCAGUUAAACUACAACGGGGGUAUGCCACUAGCUCAUCUAAUAUGAUCCACCCUUUAAUAUAUUCUCACCAUCACUUGCACAGCACAUGCACUGUUGUAAUGUGUUUCUCAGGACUGUACAGCAAUGUGGCAAUGAAUUCUGAAGCUUACCCUCACUGGAAGCUGUGAAGAAUUAAAUUGAGAUAUGGGAUUUGGCAUGUAUUUCCACCACGGUACAAUAAAAG
rnacentral:lncRNA from 1 species